rnacentral:rRNA from 1 species
AAUCAACGCUGGCGGCGUGCCUAACACAUGCAAGUCGAGCGCGAAAGGGGAGCAAUCCCCAAGUAGAGCGGCGAACGGGUGAGUAACGCGUGGGUAAUCUGCCUCCGAGUGGGGAACAACACCGGGAAACUGGUGCUAAUACCGCAUGACAUCGUUGGACCUUCGGAGUCUGACGAUCAAAGACCGGGGACCCGGCCAAGGCCUGGCGGCUUGGAGGAGGAGCCCGCCGUCCGAUUAGCAGUUGGUGGGG